rnacentral:rRNA from 1 species
CGACCGGCGCACGGGUGAGUAACACGUGGGCAACCUGCCCAAAAGAGGGGGAUAACACUUGGAAACAGGUGCUAAUACCGCAUAACCAUAGUUACCGCAUGGUAACUAUGUAAAAGGUGGCUAUACUACCGCUUUUGGAUGGGCCCGCGGCGCAUUAGCUAGUUGGUAGGGUAAAGGCUUACCAAGGCAAUGAUGCGUAGCCGAAUUGAGAGGUUGGUCGGCCACAUUGGGACUGAGACACGGCCCAAACUCCUACGGGAGGCAGCAG